rnacentral:rRNA from 7 species
CGGCAACGGAUAUCUCGGCUCUCGCAUCGAUGAAGAACGUAGCAAAAUGCGAUACUUGGUGUGAAUUGCAGAAUCCCGUGAAUCAUCGAGUCUUUGAACGCAAGUUGCGCCUGAAGCCUUUAGGCCAAGGGCACGUCUGCCUGGGCGUCAUG